UACGUAGGGUGCGAGCGUUGUCCGGAAUUACUGGGCGUAAAGAGCUCGUAGGUGGUUUGUCGCGUUGUUCGUGAAAUCUCACGGCUUAACUGUGAGCGUGCGGGCGAUACGGGCAGACUGGAGUACUGCAGGGGAGACUGGAAUUCCUGGUGUAGCGGUGAAAUGCGCAGAUAUCAGGAGGAACACCGGUGGCGAAGGCGGUUCUCUGGGCCUGUUCUGACGCUGGAGGAGCGAAAAGCGUGGGGGAGCAAACAGG
rnacentral:rRNA from 1 species